UGGGGAAUUUUGGACAAUGGGCGAAAGCCUGAUCCAGCAAUGCCGCGUGUGUGAAGAAGGCCUUCGGGUUGUAAAGCACUUUUGUCCGGAAAGAAAUCCUUGGCUCUAAUACAGUCGGGGGAUGACGGUACCGGAAGAAUAAGCACCGGCUAACUACGUGCCAGCAGCCGCGGUAAUACGUAGGGUGCAAGCGUUAAUCGGAAUUACUGGGCGUAAAGCGUGCGCAGGCGGUUUGCUAAGACCGAUNUGAAAUCCCCGGGCUCAACCUGGGAACUGCAUUGGUGACUGGCAGGCUAGAGUAUGGCAGAGGGGGGUAGAAUUCCACGUGUAGCAGUGAAAUGCGUAGAGAUGUGGAGGAAUACCGAUGGCGAAGGCAGCCCCUGGGCCAAUACUGACGCUCAUGCACGAAAGCGUGGGGAGCAAACAGGAUUNGAUACCCUGGUAGUCCACGCCCUAAAACGAUGUCAACUAGUUGUUGGGGAUUCAUUUCCUUAGUAACGUAGCUAACGCGUGAAGUUGACCGCCUGGGGAGUACGGUCGCAAGAUUAAAACUCAAAUGAAUUGACGGGGUC
rnacentral:rRNA from 1 species